rnacentral:rRNA from 1 species
GAUGAACGCUGGCGGCGUGCUUAACACAUGCAAGUCGAACGGACGGCGAAGAGCUUGCUCUUCAAAGUUAGUGGCGGACGGGUGAGUAACGCGUGGGUAACCUGCCCUAUGCAGGGGGAUAACGUUUGGAAACGAACGCUAAUACCGCAUAACCUAGUUGGUUCGCAUGAACUGGCUAGCAAAGAUUUUAUCGGCAUAGGAUGGACCCGCGUUGGAUUAGCUAGUUGGUGAGAUAAAAGCUCACCAAGGCGACGAUCCAUAGCCGGCCUGAGAGGGUGAACGGCCACACUGGGACUGAGACACGGCCCAGACUCCUACGGGAGGCAGCAGUGGGGAAUAUUGCACAAUGGGCGCAAGCCUGAUGCAGCGACGCCGCGUGAAGGAUGAAGGUUUUCGGAUCGUAAACUUCUAUCAGCAGGGAGGAACCAAAUGACGGUACCUGACUAAGAAGCCCCGGCUAACUACGUGCCAGCCGCCGCCGUAAAAC